GAUAGAAGCUCCUUUAUUUGGGACCUUGCCCUCUGUAUCUCUUCAUGUGGCUGUUAACUUGUAUCCUUUAUGGUAUCUUAUUAAACUAGUAAAGGAGUCUUGUCCCCCAGGAACCCAGCCAUCCUGUUGUGCUGGGGUAGCAGCCAACAUGUUUCAACAGCGGCCAGCAUCAGCUGCCAGACAGACACGGGUCAAUAGCCAGCCUUUCUGAUACAUCACAGGAGAAAUCUGCCAAGUUCUAAAGAGUGUACUUUGGGGGAAGUUAGUUAAGAAACUACGGUCUACUUUAUCCUUUAACAUGAACAGUAACAGUACACUUACUGCAAGUAUUGCCCAAGGGAGUAAGUCUCCUGGAAGAACCUUCUACUAGGGUGAAUGAUGACAGGACCCUCCAGUGCCAGGCUGGCCCCAGGGGCAUCUUCUAGAGGGGCACUCCCGUAAGACUCCCUGCUGACUGUUUGAGACUCGUUUCCCAGCCCAUGAAGAAGCCAUGAAGCAAGCAAUAUGGUGGGAGAAGUGCAAAUGGCGGGACAUGAAGUGCUUGUGUUGGCAGCUCAGUGUCUUGACAACGCUGGGGGAAGGAUGUAAAUGAAGAAGAGGUGAGUGCUCCCAACUGUGAUCCUGCUGGUGGCGUGCAGGCUGGAGUGGCCAGGGCCCUCACCCUACUAGGGGCAGAGGAAGGGCUUCUCAUCAUAUGCAGGGCUGUGUGGCAGUGGGUCAUUGCCUGUGCCUGGGGGAGGAGCACACCAGUGUCCAGCAGGUGUGGGCUGGCGAGAAAAGCAGAAGAACCAGUGGUGGACUCACUGAUGGUGGAUCACGGGCCAGGGUGCUGUUGGAAGCCAUGGUCAUACCAGAUGCACAGGUAGGGCAUCUCCCCUGGGUGCACCUGUAGGUGAUGGGCCAGGCUGGCACUCUGGGUGAAGUGUUUGCCACACUCAGGCAGGGGAAGGGGUGCUAAAUGAGCCUUCUCGUGGUGGAUGAGGCUGGGGUGGUACCCAAACCCCACCCACAGGUGACAGAGGAAGGGCUGCUUGCCUGUGUGAACAAUGGCAUGCUGCAACCAGUCGGAGCUCUUGGGAGAAACCCUGCCACGCUAGUUACAGGGAUGGGGUGGGGGUGGGCUGCCCAGGCACAUGGGAGCUGUGGCCACACUGGCUGUAAGAGCAGGGUGGUCACCAGCAUGGGAAUGUAGGUACAGGGUCAGGUGUGCCCCUUAGCUGAUGUGCUUCCCACACUGGGGCAGGGUCAGGGCUGUUCACUCAAGUGGGCCUGACUGUGCUGGGAGAAGGAAGCAGCAGGAAAGCAGACUCCAUAUCCCAGGCAGGAAAAGGGCUUUGUGCUGGUAACGGGGACUUUGGUCGGGCAUGUGUGGAUGGGUCAGUUGUGACAGCUGAGGGGCUGAGAGGUGCCAUAGUAGAUAGGGAGCCUGGGAUCUGUUCUGCCUUCUCCUCCUCCUUUCCUUUGCUUUCAGCCUGUGGGGGUGAGGAGACUAAGCAGAAGCAGCAAGGAGGUGGAGGGAACACAGGAAAAAGAGGUGGGGGAGUGCAGGCUGAGCCCUACGCCUGGCUGAAGGUGUGGCUGGGCUUCAAUGAUCUUUCCCUUCUCCCUGAGGUGUGGCGUGGGCUUGCUGGGAGGACUGAGUGCACACCUUCCUUGUGGGCAGUUUGCCAGGGCUUUGGGCGCUGCCACGCAAGAAAAGGGCCCUCGGAGUUGGGCCUCACCUGGACAGAGUUCUCUCGAGGACACUUCACCUCCAGCUCCUGAGGCACUCAGACACAUGAUCUGCUAUGGUCCGGGGACCAGGAAGCCUGGGAGAGAGCCAACAUCUCAGGGUGCAUCCACUGCAGCGGUCCUCGAUCUUGGCGCACCUCAGAAGCACAUGGAGAGCUCGUAAAACAAAACUCUGGUCCCACCUGAAGAGUUUCUAUUAUCAGCCUCUCUUUAUCUUGCUCCUUUGCAUUGCUAGUUAUUCUCCACCAUGCGUCUUGUCCCUCAACAAAACAGUGGUCUCUUUGUACACUUUGUAUCUCUCACUUUGCCUGACCUAUGUGUGCAGGUUUGAGAGAGACUGAAGGACUUGGGAAACUAAGCCUGGGGGUCCAGGGGUGCAACAGGAUCUGAGCAGCCCCCUCCUUCUCCCAGCCUCUGGGAAGGAGAGCACUGGGUCCAGUAGGGUAGUGUAGUUAUUUUUAAUUCCUGGGUGGGUAGAGGAGACUUACCUAGAGCAAAGCUUGAUAUAUCUCCCCCAAUGGUGUCACCUUAAUAAACAAGCUUAUCUGAGAUGUUCACAGUCGUGGGGGCAACAGAACGGAGGUUAGGAGAACUGAAAAGUAGAAUGGGACUGUGGCCAAAGGGGAGCCGAAGAGGGAACGAGAACGAGGAGGCAGCCAGUAAGGUUAGGGCUGGGAAGAACGAGGUGAGGGGGUGACUCUCCCGGCGCCCCUGGAACCCGAAGAGAAGUCGGGACUCAUUCCACACUCCACGACUCCGUCUCUCAGCUCCUCCGCAGCUGUUUCUCUUUCUUAAAACUCCAGGAGCACCGCCCACCUUCUUCCCGCCGCAACAUCCUGGGAGCGCUACACCGCCUGGAUACCUGGGGUCGAAGAGAAGGGGAGCCACAAAAAAAGGGUUCCAGGCAGACGGCGUAGAAAGGGGGCUCCACGAGGGUGCCGUGGGUAUCGUCUAUUUCUGCAGGGCAGGAGGUCUCUGGGGGCGGGCGCCCAGUCACCGAGACUGCGGUGUUUGCAGGGCUGGAAGGUGCGCCUGCGUCGGUACUGAGGAUGCUAGGGACUAGGGGGUGGAAGGAGAAAUCCCAAGGGUGGAGUGGGUGCCGGGUUGGCGGUUCAGACCCACAGGCUGACUCUUCUGCCAACAGGGCAGAGAACUGCGAGCAGGAAUUUGAGGCGGAUCGGGGUGGGGGCGCGAAGGGCAAACGGAAACAGGAAGUGAGGGGCAGAGAGGCUGAAGGGGGAACAGAGGGCAUCUACCCCUGCCUGCGAGUCGGCUCCUCUUCUCCAGCCUCCGCACUGCCCGGGACUCGGGGCGCAGCGGGGAGCCCGUUGCCCGGCCUCUGGCCUGCGGCCCGGCCCCGCCCGCGAACCAGAGGCUCGCAGGCAGCGAGGGCUUUCCCUGGCGCUCCCCGUACAGGCAGAGCUACAACCCCCGGCGGCCCCCCUCCACUCAGCCCGCGACCCGAGGGCCCGGGCUAGCUGACUCCUGAGAACUGUGGUCGCCGACCCUGCCCGCCCUUUUCGGGAGGCAGUGGGGUGGAUGGUUCUCCCUCCUUUUUCCAGCUACAGAAACCAGCUUCUUGGAAUGAUGAUCAAUUACUCUUCUUCCAAACGUCAAGCUUCACGGACCAUUCCUCCCUAUUUUCAUACAUAUUUUCUGAUUUGGAGGCUCAGAAAAAUGGGAUUUAUACACUGAAUACCUGACAUUUCCUCCCCAUUUCCAAGGCUAAAUUUCCAGGCUUCCCUCCCCAAUCUUUU